UGGGGAGCUUAGUCUCCAGUUGAAAAAAAAGAGAAGGAGGAAUAUCUAGCUCGACCAUCCACUAACUCCUAAAUGGUGAGGGAGAACAAGACAUACUCCAACACUGACAGCAGAUUUAGAGUGACAUCUAGUCAUGGAUGAGAACAAGGGAGACAUGCACCUUUUGUUCAUGUCCUCACAUCAUUUCCAUUUGAAAGGAGCAUCCAAGUGCUCCACUGGACAAACGCAAUACACUA
rnacentral:lncRNA from 1 species